rnacentral:rRNA from 1 species
GGUAGUCCAUGCCGUAAACGUUGGGCGCUAGGUGUGGGGACCUUCCACGGUCUCCGUGCCGCAGCUAACGCAUUAAGCGCCCCGCCUGGGGAGUACGGCCGCAAGGCUAAAACUCAAAGGAAUUGACGGGGCCCGCACAAGCGGCGGAGCAUGCUGAUUAAUUCGAUGCAACGCGAAGAACCUUACCUGGGUUUGACAUAUACCGGAAAGCUGCAGAGAUGUAGCCCCCUUUUGGUCGGUAUACAGGUGGUGCAUGGCUGUCGUCAGCUCGUGUCGUGAGAUGUUGGGGUUAAG